rnacentral:lncRNA from 10 species
UUAUUGGAACUCUUUUAUGAUUCAGCUUUUCAUGGAGUUCUACUUUAUCAUGAAAUCUAGCACACUGGUUCCUUUCAAUUAAUCCCUGAAGGUUAAUAUUUUUGGACCACAGUUGACCUGAGGUAACUGAAACUGCUGAAAACAAAACCAUGGAUAAGGGAGAACUCUUGUAUUAUCACAGAUUAUAUCAAAACUAUGGCUCUAGGCUUUUUAGAAGAGUUUAACAAGUGGAGCUUGAAGCUCUGUUUUUACCCUUUCUCCGGGCUGUUAUUGUCAUACAAAUUACAUCUUUAUACAUGUUGUGCUGAACAACAAGUGGAUUUGUAGGUGUUUCUUUGUGAAGUUAUCUUCUAAAUCAGAAUUAGGGAAGAAAUUAUUCAAGAUAGACUCCUAGAAAUACAAUUAUCAGCUCGUGAGUACGGACAUAAUUUGAUAAAUACAGCAAAUUGCUUUCUAAAAGUUGUUCAGUAAUUUUUGACCAAAUAGAGCUUCCAUGUUUUCAAA